UCGAGUAAAACGUGAUUGGUGUGGUUUAUACCAAUGGCUCAGUUUUUAUGUCACUCGUUUCUUUUUUAUACAAUGACUCACCGGUAUUUUUUUCUCUUUCUUCUCUAACUUGCUACAUAACAGAUCUAGUAGUGCUACAAUAUUUGUUUGCAGUAGAACAAAUAGAGGGUAUUUAGUUCAAUCAAAGUAUAUUUGUCUAAGGCUUAAGGAUGUGUAUAAAUACUUUGUAGGAGGCUGUUACCGAAGAGGUUUGCCAACCUAAGAGAUUGAUCCUUGGAAUGAGAUUAAUUCUUUCCAAGAAUAAGGUUAUUUGCCGUUGCUCUUCCUUGAUGAGAUGACUUUAAUAGCUUUCCUUCUGCAGGUCUUGAUAGCGCUAGAUUUUCUCCUUGAUUUUUGGUCCUUCCAGUAAUAGCAGCUUGAUUGAUCAUCUUGCAAGAUCUUCGAUGCUUCUUUUCCGCUUCAAUCAAUCUCUGAUUGAUUUCCUUGCCGGAUCUUUAGUUGGUUGAUUGAUUCCUUCCUUUUGAUUUUUUUAAUCUUGGAUGCUUUCCUUGAGUCCCUAUACCAAAAACAAUUAUAUUAUUUUUCUUCAUUAAAAUUAAAAUAACAAUCUCCCCCUUUUUGGUGAUGACAAAAUAAUAUAUAUAAAUAUCAGUUGACUUUCAUGUAUUUUACUCCCCCUCAAUGAGUGCAGUUGACUCCUCCUGAAUAGGUAUUGUUGAGAUUACUUCCUUUAGUUGACUACUUCUGCAGGAUCUCUGACUCCCCCUCAAGAGGUGCCGUUGGGACUUCUUUUAGUCUCUUCUCCUAUAGUAUCUAUGUCGAUACCUCAUUUUUCUCGCGAAAUCGGGUUUAUGACAUUUGGACGGACAACUCGUUUCCUUUUGGGAAUUGGAUUUGAAUUGAAGAGUCACCACCUGAUGAUUAAGUGCAUUACUAAGAAGAACUUUGAUUAAUAAAACUAUAAAUUGGAUAAGAGCUUGAAAUUAUUCCGAGGGGAACGUUUUAGGCACCCCUCGGGAUCCACUAGUGUGGUCUCCGGCCAUACUACAAUUGUGACUUUAAGUGCAAACAACAAAUAGACAAAUAAGAGUUACAAAUAUAAAGGGCUUUUCAUAUAAUUAUUGUGAAUUACUACAGUUAAACAAAAUUGGAGAAGUUGAAAUUUGAGGGAAGAAUCUGUCUUAGAGAUUUCGAAUAGACGAGUAAAAAGAGGAAAUUUUCACAUAGUUGUUACAAAUUUAAAGUAAUUAAAACCUGAAGUUUGAGAAAAGCAGUUGAAAUUCUGAAAGAAAGUAAACAAAUAAGGGAAGGGGUCCUAGGUUUAUACAUAAUAUGGAUCACCCCACCGCAACACCCGGUAACCAUUUAUACACGUGGUAUUAUCACGUGGUCAUCAUAUCCAUAUCUACCCUUUCCCACCCCGUUAAGGUAUUAAAUGCGGAAUGGUCUCGUUUUACUUAUUAUAUGAUAUUAUCCAUCCCAAAUCCUAUCAUCCCUGAAGGCAUUUGAGAACUACUAAUCCUAAAGGGAAGGGAGAUUUGGGCUUUUGUGGUUUUAAAAGGAUAAAAUUCUAAGGCGACAAUCAAAACGUAUAGAGCAGAUAUGGGGGCAACACAUAACAAUUAAAGGCUCAAACAGGCCUCCUUAACUUAAAGAUAGAUUGUUUAAUAUAUCUUGCACAUACUGGUUAUGGUCUUAGUUAAACUUAAUGGAAACGUGUGGCAGACUGAUUUAUUACAUAUUUUAGAUAAGAAACCCGAAUCAGACCUACCCUGGUUGGAAUUUAACAAAUUCUGAUUCCAUUAACUAAUUCAACUUAUGGCUUGCCUAGCUAAAACCUAUAGGCAUGAUAUCUAACAAUGCACAGAAAAGACUUGUUGGUUACAAGAAAACAUGAGUUCUAUAGAUAUUAAGCAAUGCUAUUUACUGAUUUUAGACUUAUAGGCAAAAUUGGCGAUUAAGAUUUAGUUGAUAGCUCCUAUAGGCAUGCUUUCUAGGUGCUAAAUGAUUUUAAAACGUUUACAGUUGAAAUAAAAGUGCAGAAGUCCUAUAGACAUGAUGUCUAGCAUGUUGUUUGUUAUUCAAACCUAUGAACACG
rnacentral:lncRNA from 1 species